UUUGAUGCUGCCGAGCCAGAGGGGUUGUUUCCGGUCCUGGCCGUAGGUGGCCAGGAGUGCCUCGGCCUC
rfam:Micromonospora carbonacea strain JXNT-1 contig3, whole genome shotgun sequence.